CACGAGUGCUUGUAUGCGACGCAUGUGUUAUCGUCGAUCGUUCGUUGUGUUGUUGAAUUUAUAAAAGUACGGUGUUAUUUUAUAAGGUGAAGGCCUCCUACAAGGAUCUUCAGGUAUCUCGGUUUUGGGUGAUCCAGCUUGAGCCAGCCGUUUUAGUAAUAGGGCCUUCGCAUCAGGUCGCCCAUAUGAUCCAUCGAUCGACAGACAGUCUUGCUACAUGCUCUGCCCAUCUACUUUUAAGCUUUAGAGCAUAGAACAUUUUUAGCAAGUAUUUGAAAGGAAGUAAGGGGAAAACGGAUUUAACAUCAUGACCGGCCCAAUUGUCAACCUCACUUCCACGCGCGAUACUGCGGCGAUACCUCGUAUGGUGAUGCUGCUGACCAGUGUAUUGGAUUGGACCAGUGGAUUUGUAGCCAUUGGUUAGCCUAUUGGAAGGAAAUAAUCCCUUAAGUGUCUGUGGAAAAAGCAACGAGGAACCCCUGCUCAUGAUUUUCCGUACUUGUCAGGAUUUGA